GCGCACGCUGGCGGCAGGCCUAACACAUGCAAGUCGAACGAACCUUUCGGGGUUAGUGGCGGACGGGUGAGUAACACGUGGGAACGUGCCUUUAGGUUCGGAAUAACUCAGGGAAACUUGUGCUAAUACCGAAUGUGCCCUUCGGGGGAAAGAUUUAUCGCCUUUAGAGCGGACCGCGUCUGAUUAGCUAGUUGGUUGAGGUAAUGGCUCACCAAGGCGACGAUCAGUAGCUGGUCUGAGAGGAUGAUCAGCCACAUUGGGACUGAGACACGGCCCAAACUCCUACGGGAGGCAGCAGUGGGGAAUCUUGCGCAAUGGGCGAAAGCCUGACGCAGCCAUGCCGCGUGAAUGAUGAAGGUCUUAGGAUUGUAAAAUUCUUUCACCGGGGACGAUAAUGACGGUACCCGGAGAAGAAGCCCCGGCUAACUUCGUG
rnacentral:rRNA from 1 species